rnacentral:rRNA from 1 species
UACGGAGGUGGCAAGCGUUGUUCGGAUUCACUGGGUGUAAAGGGCAUGUAGGUGGCUUGGUAAGUCCCAAUUGAAAUCCUUCGGCUCAACCGAAGAACGGGUUGGGAAACUGCCAGGCUUGAGUUCGGGAGAGGAAAAUGGAAUUCCCGGUGUAAAGGUGAAAUUUGUAGAGAUCGGGAGGAACACCAGUGGCGAAGGCGAUUUUCUGGCCCGAAACUGACACUGAAAUGCGAAAGCUAGGGGAGCAAACAGGAUUAGAUACCCGAGUA